rnacentral:rRNA from 1 species
GCAUAGACAGCUAGGAGGUUGGCUUAGAAGCAGCAAUCCUUUAAAGAAAGCGUAAUAGCUCACUAGUCUAGUGACUCCGCGCGGAAGAUAUAACGGGGCUAAGCAUGUUACCGAAGCUGUGGCUUGUCGUAAGACAGGGGUAGGGGAGCGUUCGAGCGUAGGCUGAAGGUUGACCGUGAGGACAGCUGGACGAACUCGAAGUGAUCAUGCUGACAUAAGUAGCGUUGAACUCAGGUGAAAAACCUGGGCGCCGUAAACUCAAGGGUUCCUGGGCAAGGAUAAUCCUCCCAGGGUUAGUCGAGACCUAAGGCGAGGCCAAUAGGCGUAGUCGAUGGAUAUCCGGUUAAUAUUCCGGAACUAAUACAAAUUAAGAAUGCAAUGACAGAGUAGGUAGACUCAGCCCCCCGUUGGAUGUGGGGGUGUAAGCGUGUAGGAGGUCAGACAGGUAAAUCCGUCUGGCUUAACUCUGAGACGUGAAUGCGAGGGAUUUAUCCCGGAAGUGAGUGGAGCCAUGCUUUCAAGAAAAGUUGCUUUACUGUGAAGUGUUACUCGUACCGUAAACCGACUCAGGUGAGUGGGAUGAAUAAUCUAAGGCGAUGAGGUGAAUCUUGGUUAAGGAACUCGGCAACUUAACACCGUAACUUCGGGAAAAGGUGUGCCUCAGAAGGUGUAGGGAUUUACUCCUGAAGCUUUUUGAGGUCGCAGAGAGUUGGGAGUAGCGACUGUUUAUCAAAAACACAGGCAUGUGCAAAGUCUCAAGACGACGUAUACGUGCUGACGCCUGCCCGGUGCUGGAAGGUUAAGAGGAUUUGUCAGCGCAAGCGAAGCAGAGAAUCGAAGCCCCAGUAAACGGCGGCCGUAACUAUAACGGUCCUAAGGUAGCGAAAUUCCUUGUCGGGUAAGUUCCGACCUGCACGAAUGGCGUAACGACUUCUCCGGUGUCUCAACCAAGGGCCUCGCGAAAUUGAAUUCUCGGUGAAAAUGCCGAGUAUCCGCAGAAAGACGGAAAGACCCCGUGAACCUUUACUAUAGCUUUGCAUUGAGCUUGAAUAUUUGAUGUGUAGGAUAGGUGGGAGCCGACGAAGCUGGGACGCUAGUUCUGGUGGAGGCGACGUUGAAAUACCACCCUUUGGUUAUUUGAGUUCUAACCUCACGAAGUGAAGGACAGUGCAUGGUGGGUAGUUUGAC